rnacentral:tRNA from 1 species
GGGGAUUUAGCUCAGUGGUAGAGCGCUUGCCUAGCAAGUGCAAGGCCCUGGGUUCAGUUCCCAGUUCCA